rnacentral:tRNA from 3 species
GCCACUGUGGCUCAGCGGUGGAGCGACGGUUUCGUAAACCGUUGGUCGGGGGUUCGAUUCCCUCCAGUGGCUCCA